GGGCGAUUAGCUCAGUUGGUUAGAGCAUCUGAUUUACAUUCAGGGGGUCGUAGGUUCGAAUCCUACAUUGCCCACCA
rnacentral:tRNA from 1 species